AACGAACGCUGGCGGCAGGCCUAACACAUGCAAGUCGAACGAACCCUUCGGGGUGAGUGGCGCACGGGUGCGUAACACGUGGGAAUAUACACAUAGGUAAGGAAUAACUCAGGGAAACUUGCGCUAAUACCUUAUAAUAACUCCGGUUCAAAGAUUUAUCGCCUAUGGAUUAGCCCGCGCUAGAUUGGUUUGUUGGUGAGGUAAGAGCUCACCAAGACUACGAUCUAUAGCUGGUCUUAGAGGAUGAUCAGCCACACUGGAACUGAGACACGGUCCAGACUCCUACGGGAGGCAGCAGUGAGGAAUAUUGCGCAAUGGAGGAAACUCUGACGCAGCCAUGCCGCGUGAAUGAAGAAGGCCUUAGGGUUGUAAAUUCUUUCAGAUGCGAAGAUAAUGACGGUACCAUCAGAAGAAGCUCCGGCUAAAUUCGUG
rnacentral:rRNA from 1 species